AGUCACCAGUCAUACCAUAGGCGGCUACCUCCCUUGCGGGUUGGCGCACCGACUUCCGGUACAGCUGGCUUCCAUGGUGUGACGGGCGGUGUGUACAAGGCCCGGGAACGUAUUCACCGCGGCGUGCUGAUCCGCGAUUACUAGCGAUUCCAACUUCAUGGAGUCGAGUUGCAGACUCCAAUCCGAACUGAGAGCGGCUUUUUGGGAUUGGCUCCCCCUCGCGGGUUCGCGACCCUUUGUACCGCCCAUUGUAGCACGUGUGUGGCCCUGGACAUAAGGGCCAUGAUGACUUGACGUCGUCCCCACCUUCCUCCGGCUUAACGCCGGCAGUCUCCUUAGAGUGCCCAACUGAAUGGUGGCAACUAAGGACGAGGGUUGCGCUCGUUGCGGGACUUAACCCAACACCUCACGGCACGAGCUGACGACAGCCAUGCAGCACCUGAACCGGCAGUCCCCGAAGGGAAAAUCC
rnacentral:rRNA from 1 species